CCCCCGGGCCGCCGCGCGCGUGCGCAGACUCUGACCCAGGCGGGGAGGCGGAGUCCGGCGCACCCCCGGAGCUGGACUCUUCCUUGCCGCAGCGCACACCUUUGCGGGGCGUCCGAUCCGCGUGGUCAGUGUUUGUCAGGCACCGAAGUGGGACUCUCGGACCGCCUGUCAGGUCUUGAUUAGCUGGAGCGGUCGGCCAGCGUCAGGUGCCUCGGGUUUCUCGAACGCAGUGCCGCCUGCCACCGGGGGCGUGGAGGAAGGGACCUUUGCCGGGAGGUGGAAAGACGUCUUCAGAGAUGUCAAAAACGGACCCACUUACAAAAGACUCCACCACCCGCCUGGCGGAUCUCGUGGGAUAAACAAACGUAAGGAAAGAAACGAAAGAACGUGGAUAGUGGAGGGAAAAGCAACACAGAUGACAUGGUCUUGGAUAAAUUCUUGUAGCUCUGGCAUGAAUCACUCAGCAGAAUCAUCUUGAGGCAAGAAGGAAUGAGGCCACAUGGAGACCACAAAGAAACUCAGAGAUCAGCAAGAGAAAGUCACUGCGACACUGAAGCUGGACGGAGAGCUGGAGUUGCUGAACAGAAAGUAGAUGCUUAGUGGUUUAUGCAGUGGACUCGUGCAAGAGGAAACACAUUCAGGCAAGAAGAGAGAAAAGUUUCCUGGUUUCUUUCUUUAUCUGGUCCUCCAGUACCCUGCUGGAGCCCAGGGGCUUAGCCCAGCUGGAAUGCACCUUACUUAAAUGCUGGGAAGUGUGCUGUGUAGGGUCAGACCCUCUACAAUCCACUUCAGAGAAGAGGAAGGUGAGAAACCACUACAGCAGGGAAGAGUCAAGGACAGAUGCAAUAAUGAUUGCUAAGAUAAGAGUGGAGGGCUGCAUUUUUGCCUUCUGAGUUCCCAGUACCCAAAUGUCAUUCAGAGUAGAGUGUGUCCUAUCUCCCAAUUCAUUUCCUUAUGGCUCUUCAGAGCUUCUGUUCAUUACUAGCUUUUUAAAUCAUGUGUUGAUAACAAGAUUCCAUAUGUGAUGUUCCUUGUGCAUUUCCUGUAAUAGAGACCUACUGUUCUGUAAUUUAAUGUCCACAAUCCCAGACAGUAGUAGCCUCCUUUAUAUUUUGUUGCUUUACCCUCUAGCCACAGAAUACCGACAGAGGAGGGUAUACACCCAACCCUUAUCUGAGCAAUCAGAAUAGUCUCCCUAGAUCUGUGAAUCACAUGCACUAUAGACGUUCUGUUUGCCAGAUACAUUUAAUUGCAGUGGGCUGGCACAAGGAAACUUGGGGGAUAUGCUCUGACUGUUUUCUGUGCACUUGAAUGAAUGAGGAAGCAAUGUUAACCCAGAAAGCACAAUGGGGUAAACUCACAGGAAGAGGCAGAGAAGGGAGGAGAGUCAAGUGAGAGCCACCCAAAGCUGUGCAGUUCCAGGUUCCAGUUCUUCAGAAGACCUGCUUUCACUUUCUGCCCCCGAUUAGGAGAAAUGCUGUGCAAAUAUUCCACGGCCUACACAAAUCCUUCCUCAUUUGUUAUUUUCCAUCACAUACAAGCAAAACGAUCCUUACCAAGGUAAUGUUUUCACAAACAGUUUAAAAAUGAAACUGGGUGGUGGUGGCACAUUACUUUAUUCCCA